UACACAUGCAAGUCGAACGAUGAAACUUAGAAGAUUUCUUCGGAAUGAAUUUAAGCGGAUUAGUGGCGAACGGGUGAGUAACACGUGAGUAACCUGCCUUACACAAGGGGAUAGCCUUUGGAAACGAAGAAUAAUACCCUAUAAAGUCAAAAUAUCGCAUGAUAUAAUGACCAAAGAUUUAUCGGUGUAAGAUGGACUUGCGUCUGAUUAGCUAGUUGGUGAGAUAAAAGCUCACCAAGGCGACGAUCAGUAGCCGGCUUGAGAGAGUGUACGGCCACAUUGGGACUGAGACACGGCCCAAACUCCUACGGGAGGCAGCAGUGGGGAAUUUUGCACAAUGGGGGAAACCCUGAUGCAGCGACGCCGCGUGAUUUAGAAGGCCUUCGGGUUGUAAAAAUCUUUUUUACGGGAUGAAAAUGACAGUACCAUAAGAAUAAGGUCCGGCUAAAUACGUGCCAGCAGCCGCGGUAAU
rnacentral:rRNA from 1 species